rnacentral:rRNA from 1 species
UACGUAGGUGGCAAGCGUUAUCCGGAAUUAUUGGGCGUAAAGCGCGCGCAGGUGGUUUCUUAAGUCUGAUGUGAAAGCCCACGGCUCAACCGUGGAGGGUCAUUGGAAACUGGGAGACUUGAGUGCAGAAGAGGAAAGUGGAAUUCCAGGUGUAGCGGUGAAAUGCGUAGAUAUCUGGAGGAACACCGGUGGCGAAGGCGACAUCCUGGACCGGUAUUGACGCUGAGGCGCGAAAGCCAGGGGAGCAAACGGG